ensembl:lncRNA
CAAGCAUCGGUCUUGAUAGGCUCCACAGAGUGGAACUCCUGUCAUCUCAUCAUGUCAACAAACAGUAGACAGGCUGCCGAAGCAGUGAUGUCACAGGGAGACAAUGUAGCCAAGCCCAGGAUUGGACUUCAGCUCACCCACGAGUCCCUCUGUAUGUAGGUAGCCAUGACUACCGUCUGCCAAUGGCUGCACUCUCAACAGCUCCCUGGCUCCCACAAUCAGGGGCAGCUGAAAGACAACAGUAGGGACAGAGCUAUUGAACAAGAGAGGGCUUGAAUAGCAAGGGCCUGUGGAUACAGUGUGUGCCCGGAUGGACUUGGCCCAGCUAUGGGGGGGUGAGAACCGCGGCCUCUCCCACGUGGAAGGCAGCGACGACUGGGGUGAUGAGUUAGGAGGACUGGGUGUUAUACCCUUCAGUCAUUCCCUCAUCCCUCUCAGAGACUCUCGUCCACUCGUCCUCACCGAUCUGGACAUGUGGGACAGCAGGUCUCACUUUAAAUCUCAGUCCUUAGCGUGGAGUAUGGCAUGUAGGACUGGAGGGUUCCUCUCCAAAAUGAGCACCGGCACCUCCGCUAAUGGCAGAGACAGUGGCUUCAGCAGACAGAGUGACCCAGGGCUGGGUAAAAGAAGAUGGCAGUCGAUGUCUCGCCUGGCCCCCGAGGGCGCACCCCGGUCCCUCUCCCCUGUCUCCCCAGGGGUUGAGCUGAGAGCAGCCCUGGAAGAGAGUGGCUUUAGGCGAGCAGAGCUGGUGCAGAGGCUGCGGGAGGCCCAUGGACGUCUGGACAGCCAGACAGACCUGCUGAAGAACAGAGACGCACAGCCGCAGCACAGCAGUAGUACUGCACAGCUGCUGGAGACGAAACACAAGCAGCUGGCAGAUGCAGUGAGUGCUCUUGAGCAGGAGAAGGAGGCAGCUGAGUUGAGCCGGUUUGAGGAAAGUCGACGUCGAGGAGAACUGCAAGACAAGGUUCUUCGACUGGAGAUGGACAUGUUGAAGAUGAGGUCAAACCUGAGUGUUAUCAAACCUGCGGCCCCAAGAACUAACAACAACCCACUCAGCAGGACCUCACCUGUUACACAACAAGACUUGUUCAGAGAGGAAAAGCACAGAGCAGAGAGAGAGCUGUCCAGACUGAGAGAGGCCCUCAGAGAGGCCGAGGAGAGAGCAGAGGCCCUGGAGACAGAGAGAGACCUUCAGCAACUACACACCUCUAAAGAGGCUCAGAGGACUGUGUUGAACCAGACAGAGGAAGUGAACCAGAGACUGGGUCGGGCCUUGCAGACCCACAGUGAGCUGAAGGACCAGCUGAGUGAGGCACGCAGUAAGCUGGGUCAGGCCACUCUGGAGAGGGACCUUCUGACCUCCAAGGUGUUGCGGCUGGAGGACAGUGUGGAGGACCUGAAGAUCAAGCUGACCGGGGCCAUGUCUGACAAGGACCGCUUACUGCAGGAGAAGGCAGACCUGCACCAGCAUGCUCAGGAUCUGGAGCUGCAGUUGGAGAGGGCCCAGAGAGGCAGGGAAGGCUACACAGACCAGGUGUGUGAGCUCAGCAACCAGCUGGCUGAGGCCAAGGCUCACACCAACAGGCAGGGGCAGGAGACUGUGCAGAUGAAACAGGAACUUCUGACUGUGACAGAGAUGAAUGAAAAGAUGACAUCAGAGCUAGAGAUGGUCAGACAGAGGCUGGAGUCCUCAUUGGCUCAGCUGCAUGAGCUGGGGGCGGAGAGAGUCAUCCACACCAAUCAGAUCGCAGCUCUGGAGACGGAGCGCUCGCAGCUGAUUGGAGAGAAGCAGGAGUUGACGAGUGCUAUUGGACGGGAUGGAAGACAGGAGGAGGAAGUGACAGAGUUGAGGGAGAAUUGUUGUCAGCUCAGUGAAUCCCAGGAUGCCUUGGAGUCAGAGAACCAGAGGCUGCAUGAAUGCUGCCUGACCUUGGAGGCAGAGCUCCUGGAAAAGGAGGAGGGGCUGUGUCAGAAGGGGGAGGAGCUGCAGAGGUUGGAGGCUGAGUCGGCUCAGAACAUGGAGGAGCUGAGGGGUGUGGCCUCACACUGGAGCGAGAAGUGGCAGGAUGUGGCUAUGGCGUUACAAUCCACCCAGGCAGAACUAGAGGAACUCAGAGAGAAGAACCCUGGAGAUACACUUCAAGAGGAGGUGGUACGGCUGAAGGUGGAGGUUGAGAGACUUCAGGGACAGAGAGAUAAGGAAGAGAUCCAGACUCUUCAUCAGCACUGGACCAGUAAAGAGGCAGAGCUGAGCAGAGUCAUUAAAGAUGCCGGUUCUCUGCUGAAGGUAGAGCUGAACGCUUGUAAACAACAGUUGGAGCUGGAGAGGAGCCGGACUCAGGCUCUACACAACAGACUCAAAGUUAAAGACAACCCUCAUAUAUUGGGUAGGGGAACGGUAGAAACGUUUGAUAAAGGGACAGAGACAGAUAUACCACAACAGACACGGGAUGAACAGGUCUCGCUGGAGGAGCUGGGCCAGGUGAGGGCAGAGCUACUGAUGGUCUCCCUGGAGGAGGUGGAUGGGGGCCAGGUGUCACAGCUAAAUAGUGAACUUCAGAGGCUGGAGCUGGAAGUGGCAGAGAGAGAACAGCACCUGAGGGAGAAGGAACAUGCUCUGAGGAGUCUGGAGAGACUGAGAGAUGCCGAGAGGACAGAGGCGCAAAUCAAGGUUUCUACACUGGAGCUGAAGUUGAUUAACCUAAAGGAGCAGGCCGGUGGAGAAGGUCUAUGUCAUGGAGGCCAAGAACAAGCUCAGCACACUGACUCACUGAGGUCUCAGCUAGAGGAGUGCAGGAGGAGAGCCAAUCAGCUGCAACAGGAGAGAGACCAGGCAGUUCAGAGGCUACAGACUCUACGCCGGCUACAUCAGGCUACGGAACAGGAAGCAGCUGCAGGCAGCAAGAAAGAGAGAAUGGUUUGUGUGGAUAACAUAGUGAACCAGGAUAAACAGAGAAGACUGGUAACAGAACAGCUGAAGAGUCUAUUUAAGGAGCGUGAGCAGUUGGGUCAGGUCUAUGGUAGAUCAGCAGGAGGAGGAGGAGUUCUGCAAGACUGGGCACCGAAGUCGAAGGUCAUCAAGAACUCCCUUGACACACUACACAGCCAGAGGAAGAGAGAGAAGGAGCUGAUGAGGGAGCAGCAGUUUGCAGGACUGAGGCCUGUGUCUGAGGAGCAAGAAGAGGAGGACGACCCAGAGAGGGAGGUGGAGGAGGAGGUGACUCGCCUUAGGGAGGAACUCCACAGCAAGACCCACGCGAUGUCAGCGAUGAGUGUGGAAAUCAGCGAUCUGAAAGAGAGAAAUGAAAACCUCCAGAAAGCCAAGCUAAGGUUUCAGCCACAGAUCCAAGGGUUGGGCGCCACAGCGUCUAACUCUUCAGAGAAGACCACGUCAGAGAGUGAGGAGCCUCUUCUAUUGGAGAGAGACAUGCAGAGGGGAUCAUCAUCAUCAUCAUCACCACCACCCCGCUGGGAAGAUGGAGUGUUCCUGGCUAGGCAGGUGCAGAUCGGCAGCCCUGAAUUGGAGGGGGAGGAAGAGGAAGAUGGAGGCUGUGGCUGAUGCAUACCUGGUCCUAAUUUGCUCCCUACCCCUUCUCCUUGGCCCUGAACUACUUCAAGGUUGUCAGAUCUGAAGCAUCUAUAUACGUAGAAGCAGUAUUGUUGUAGAGCUUCCACUAUAUUGCUUCCACCCCUACAGAUCUGCAAACAUUGAAGCUAAUGGAGUCCUCAGUCUUCGUGUGAAGUCUUACUAUAGUCAUGCAAUGAUACAAAUCCUAAAAAGGUUGUACAAACCAGUGUUAAUGUCAAUCUACUGAUUAGUGGUUAUAAAUGUGGUGCUUUUGUUGAUGAUUAACAAUGAAACAGGAAGUGAAAUGUGUUCCAUUGAUAAUAGUGAGAUGACAACAGAGGAUGAUUUUCUGUAAUACGCCUACGCUAUAUAAGCUAAUGAUCCAAUGAAUAGGGCUGUGUAAUAGUAGUAAUGUUAAUGUGGUUAAUACAUUAAAACUACAAUGUUACCACAUACAGCACAACAAUUCUGGAGGUUUGUGAUUUGCCCAUUUUGUUGUAAUUAAAAAACGAUUGCAUUAA